AACGAACGCUGGCGGCAGGCUUAACACAUGCAAGUCGAACGGGCCCUUCGGGGUCAGUGGCAGACGGGUGAGUAACACGUGGGAACGUGCCCUUCAGUUCGGAAUAACCCAGGGAAACUUGGGCUAAUACCGGAUACGCCCCUUUGGGGAAAGAUUUAUCGCUGAAGGAUCGGCCCGCGUCUGAUUAGCUAGUUGGUGGGGUAAAGGCUCACCAAGGCGACGAUCAGUAGCUGGUCUGAGAGGAUGAUCAGCCACACUGGGACUGAGACACGGCCCAGACUCCUACGGGAGGCAGCAGUGGGGAAUAUUGGACAAUGGGCGCAAGCCUGAUCCAGCCAUGCCGCGUGAGUGAUGAAGGCCUUAGGGUUGUAAAGCUCUUUCGGCGGGGACGAUAAUGACGGUACCCGCAGAAGAAGCCCCGGCUAACUUCGUGCCAGCCGCCGCCGUAAAAC
rnacentral:rRNA from 1 species